GUAGCAGCCCGGUGUUGGAGGUCGGGCAUGCUCCUGAAACGUCCACUGCGAACUGAUCCACUGGCGCCGAAAUGAGCGCGAUUAAGAUGAAAAUACACGCAAACAAGACACAGAAACGCUUUUAAGUCGUAAUUUUACCCAACGGUUAACCCGCGACUGGGACGCAAAGCGUGGAGGAACAGCAGAAGAGCUUUGGGAAGUGUCCGUCCGUUUUGUCCUACAAAGGCGGCGGGUGUUUGACAGCGGGAGGGCCCGACGUUAGGAAACCGCUGCGGCUGAAGGAGGAGGAGGCAGGAGAAGGAGGAGGAAGGCUCUCUGAAGACUCAAUGAAACAUUAAGGAGUCAUUUCUGCUGAGGGAAGCGAGCUGAAUCAUGAGGAAGGACGUGAGGAUACUCCUUGUUGGAGAGCCCAAGGUGGGGAAGACGUCACUGAUCAUGUCUCUGGUUAGUGAGGAGUUUCCUGAUGAGGUUCCUCUGAGAGCUGAAGAGAUCACCAUUCCAGCUGACGUGACCCCAGAGAGGGUUCCCACACACAUCGUGGAUUACUCUGAAGCAGAGCAGACUGAUGAGCAGCUGUAUCAAGAAAUAUCCAAAGCAAACGUGAUCUGCAUAGUUUAUUCAGUUAACAACAAGAAGUCCAUCGAAAAGGUGACAAGCCACUGGAUUCCUCUUAUAAACGACCGCACAGAUAAAGACAGCAGGGUACCACUGAUUCUCGUGGGGAACAAGUCGGACCUGGUGGAGCACAGCAGCAUGGAGACCAUCCUGCCCAUCAUGAAUCAGUACCAGGACAUUGAGACCUGUGUAGAGUGUUCUGCCAAGAACCUGAAGAACAUCUCUGAGCUUUUCUACUACGCCCAGAAGGCUGUUCUCCACCCGACGGGGCCCCUGUACUGCCCAGAGGAGAAGGAGUUGAAACCUUCCUGCAUUAAGGCUUUAACUCGGAUAUUUAAAAUCUCCGACCUGGACAACGACGGGGUCCUGAAUGACAACGAACUCAACUUUUUCCAGAGAACCUGUUUCAACACGCCUCUGGCACCUCAAGCCUUAGAAGAUGUGAAGAACGUGGUGAGGAGAAACAUGACAGAUGGAGUCAGAGACAAUGGACUCACCCUCAAAGGCUUCCUCUUCCUGCACACUCUGUUCAUUCAGCGAGGUCGACACGAAACCACGUGGACGGUGCUGAGGAGGUUCGGCUAUGACGACGAUCUGGAGCUCACGCAGGAAUAUCUGUUCCCUCUGGUAAAAGUCCCUCCAGACUGCACCACCGAGCUAAACCACAACGCUUACCUCUUUCUGCAGAGUGUCUUUGACAAACACGACAAAGACAGAGACUGUGCACUUUCCCCAGAGGAAGUGAAGGACUUGUUCAACGUGUUUCCCUACAUGCCCUGGGGUCCAGAUGUCAACAACACGGUGUGCACCAACGAGGAGGGAUGGAUCACAUACCAGGGAUACCUCUCCCAGUGGACGUUAACAACAUAUCUGGAUGUCCAGAGGAGUUUGGAGUAUUUAGGUUACCUCGGCUACUCCAUCAUCUACGAACAGGAGUCCCAGGCUGCUGCUAUUACUGUGACGCGUAGCAAGAGUAUUGAUCUUCAGAAGAAACAAACGCAGCGCAGCGUCUUCCGGUGUAACGUGUUGGGGGCGCGCGGCAGCGGGAAAAGUGGCUUCCUGCAAGCUUUCCUUGGCAGAAACCUGCAGAGACAGAUGCGGAUCAGAGAAGACCACAAGUCCUACUAUGCCAUCAGUACGACCUAUGUUUAUGGUCAGGAGAAGUACCUGCUGCUCCACGAGGUGAUGUCAGAUUUCGACAUCCUGUCCGAGCCCGACCUGGCCUGCGACGUGGUCUGCCUUGUGUACGACGUCAAUGACCCUCGUUCCUUCGAGUACUGUGCUAAAGUCUAUAAGGAAUGCUUCAUAGACAGCAAAACGCCCUGCGUCGUUGUCGCUGCCAAGUCCGACCUGCACGAGGUCCGGCAGCAGUACAGCCAGUCACCGCUCGACUUCUGUCGCAAGCACAAGCUCCACCCACCGCAGCCGUUCACAUGCAACACGGCCGAAGCACCCAGUAAGGACCUCUACACCAGACUCACCACCAUGGCCAUGUACCCCUCCAGCCGGUCGAGCCGCUCUCUGUUCAGUCUGGCACAUGGCGGUGUGACCAGCCUGUGCCGGCUGACGCCCAGGCUGCUAGCCAGGGAGGUACCGUGUGUCUGCGUGGAAGUGGCGUGUUGCAUGCUGCAUGACUGCAGCGCGAGCUAAACGGACAGGGAAACGUUUUUGUUUUCAGAGGCUUUUUUUUAUUAAAUGAGGAUUGAUUUAUUAAAGCGAGAGACGUAAAUACAACGUUUGCACAUUUUUAAGCCAAUAAUUAUAAGUUUGUCCCAAGGCUUGACAGUAUAAUCUCUCAAUUUCUUAUAUUGACAAUUUCCAAUUUUAAGCAUUUUCCCCUCAUUUCUUUUCUAGUAAAAAUAAAUUACAAUUGACAGAAAAUAUUUUCAAAACUGGCUCUUAUUGAAAUUGUCCCUUUUUUGAGUUGUACGUUGGAGUUUCAGGGCCUGACUACCAGAGGAAAAUUUAUUACAAGAAUAUAUUCAUAAUAUUAGCUGUAUUAAGACAAUUUAUUUUGUUCCUCCUUCGAAAUAUUUAGUUGUUUACAUGAUUCUUUCAAAGUCUGGCUACAGAUAAUUUGAUGAUGAUCUUUCAAAAGUAUUUUAAAAAGUAUUUCUGUAAAUUAUCUGUAUACUCUUCCCUCCUUUAAUUUAGUUUUGGAGUUCUAAUAAAAUGACUACUUUAUUCUUUUGAUAUUAUGACUUUAUUCCUGGAAUUAAAAAAUAAAUAAAUUAAUCUUAACCUGGUGCUGCUAUUCCAUCAUUGAGUUGACCUGAAUUCAAAGUCCAAAUAAAUAAAAGCUGUGAAACUCGAUUGUCAAACAACAUGGCCGCCCUGGGCGUUCUGACAUCACUCUGAACUAUGGAAUUCCAAGAAGUGCAUUUGUGGGGAAAAAACAUAAAAAAUUCAGAUUUACCAGAAAUUAAAUGUUCAAAAACCUAAAAUAUGACUAAUUGAUCAAGUUGAAUUUACUUCCAAGCUCUAGUUUGGAGUUAAUGUCACUUUUGAUGCAUUUAAAGAUACAGAAAACGAACUAAAACUUCUCACAGCCUUUUCUAGCUUGUGUGAAUCGUCAGAUCGGUGAGCUGUUUGAGGUCCUGCAGUGGAUUUCCAGACUGUAAACUCUGACUUAAUUAUAUACAAAAUGAGAGAAACACAGACAGUCUUCUGUUUGUGUUUCAUCUGCUCUGAAAACUUCAUUCUGUUCAGCAUGUUCAAUUUCUCACUGAACUCAAAAAUCCCAAACACUUGUUUUCUCUGGAUAACUUUAAUCAGCUGCUGGUCUGAUAAGAUUUGAUGUUUUCAGUCUCAUUUUGUCUUUAUUUCUUUGCCUAAUGCUCAAGUCUUAACACACAGUGGACCAUAAUAUUUCUGCUUUAUAUUUAUACUAGAAUUGAACAUAACCAGGUUAUGUUCAAUGUCUCCUGUGUGUUAACGCCUGAUGAAUUUGAUUAACAGGCUUUUUGAAAUCGGAAUGUGUGUUUUUAUAUUUUUUGAUUGAUUAAAUUGCACCGAUCACUUUCAUUUCAUCCUGUUUUUCUUUCCCCCCCCCACGCCUGUUAAUGUCUUUCCUCUCUGUAGGUUUUCAUAUCCGUGUUUCUGGCUGCCGCUUUUCCUCUUCCUCUUGCAUCUCUUAACCCUUUUUUAACACUUGAUAAUCUGGCUUACUUGUUCUCUAGCUUUUAAAUUAAACCCAUGUUGGUGCUUAGCGAAAUGCUGCCAUCUACUGGUGCGUGAGCGGUUUUGUCUUUGUCUCUGUAAUAACAGGAGCUCAGUGUUUUGAAUCUAGUGGGAGUUUGGUUUAACCAGACUGAUGGAAAUUGUCGGGUGUGGGAAUGUUUCUGAUAGAUGUGACCCAAAUGGAACCGGACCGUACCACGUUUCAUUCAGUGCUAACCAUUUUUUUGUUUUGGUUCCUUUUUCUUCUUCUUCUCGGUUAUUAAAGCAGCAUGUACCUGUAGAUCAUCACAACCUGCAGAGCUGCAACGACUUAAGGAAAUGCUUUGGGUUUAUUAAAGUUUCACGCCAGCACAGCCAGAGUGGUUAAAAAGAUGAAUCUGAUAAUAAAUGAAAGAAUGAUAAUAACUUCACACUAUAAUAAUAGGUUUAUCGGGGGACAUUGUUACUUUCCAGGCUGGCUAUUUUUGGUGUGAACUGGGUUUAUUUGCUGUGUUUGUGGAGCUUUUUGUGUUUGAACUCUAAAGAGAUGUGAAGCUGGGUGAAACUGUUUUUUUUUUUUUAUCAUUAUUCUUUUUUGUUCUAUCGUUUUAUAAGAUUCAAAGGAAAUUUUUCUGUUAAUGGAAAACAAACAAACUGGAAUCACUACUUAUUCAUUGAUUUGAUCAAAUUCAACAACCUUUAACAGUAUAAAGCUUGAAGAUUUUGGAUGUAUAUACAUUUUUAAAAAAUAUUUAAUGUUUACUUAAGUUUUUUUUUUAAGUACAUUAAAUCAUAGUUUAAUACACUCAUACAAUUAUAUUAUAGGAUGCACUAAGAUUCUUCCAUUGUUUUGAAAUUGGAAGGAAUUCAUUGAUGAACCUUUAACAAAAGUGCUUCACAAAUGAUAAUAUUUGUCAAUUGUCAUUGCAAAUGAAACCAACCAACUAACUUGAGAUUUUAACAGUAAUUUCAUUUAAUAUAAUGCAUUGUAUUCAUAACUGAAAUCUUAAACAUGAGAGUAUCAGCAACAGGGCUUAACGGGAUUCACUGGGCGAAAAGUCUAAUUAUGAAUUGUUUAAAAUAUAUUUUUUAAAGAAUCCUGGUCAUUUUGAGGCUCCCUGAUGUUUGAUAUUAGUUUCCUUCUGUAUCAGAGAUAAUAAACUAGAGGUCAUAAUUAGGAUUUUCCCUCCAUUCCCUGAAAGAUUUAAGAUCUUGAUCACCUAAACCUCUACUGGGGUGAUCGUUGAAUGCCGAUUUACUGGCCACACACUGCUGCUAUCAGGAUGGAGAUUUUUUUUGAUUUUAUUUAUUUUUUAUGAAAAAGACUCAACAAGGUUUCUGGAACAUUCCUUUUUUGCUCCAUAUUAACAGGAAAGGAUUGUAUAGUUGGUUGAAGUUUUGUCUUCUGCACAUCCAGAAUGCAUAAGAUGUUUCGCCCCUAGAGAACUACAUAGCAGUGAAACCUGUUGAUUAAUCACUUUGAACACCAACAAGCCAUUUCCUGACCCCUGACUUGAGAUGUUUGCAUUUAGUCCCUUAAAUCUUUGUUCUUCCACGUUUUGAUGUGGAAGAACAAAAUCUUGACGCCUAAACCCACUAAGUCUCUGCUUUGUGACUGGUAGCCAAAUCGGUGUACCUAAUAAAGUUGCUUAAACAGACUUGUGAUUAUUAAACUUCACACACUGAUAUUGAUAUUCCUGUAUCAUGCAGGUUAAAAUGAAACAAACCACCUUGGAUUUGAUAUUAAUGUUAAUGCCGUUUGUAAAUUCCUAAUGAUAAAACAGUAACAGAUGCAUCACUAAUCUCUAGCUGCAGCCCCAGUGUGUGUAAUUCUGCGGUAUCUCCCAGCUUCACCUGCUGUGUGGCGUUGUGACUGUGUUUGUGGGAACGCUGCUGGGUUGGGUGGAUGUAGCGCUGAGCUUCCUGCUGUGAAGGGAGGAUUUCAGGCUGGUGCUGCAGGUUAGACGGUCAUCUCCAACAAGGCCUCCGCUUGAGCAGCCAGCUUCUCCACAAAGGCACAUGGCCCAGGCGGACCUGAAGAACUCCACCUUCUGGCUGAGGGCCAGCCUCGGUGCCACCGUGUUCGCAGUGUUGGGCUUCGCCAUGUACAAAG